UCCCCGUUGCCGGGGCAGUCUGAAUAGAAAAAUUCAACUAUUCACAGGGGUUGCGCUCGUUGAUGGACUUAACCAAACAUCUCACGACACGAGCUGACGACGGCCAUGCAGCACCUGUCACUUGGUUCAAUAAAGCACUCUCUGCUUUCGCAGAAAUUCCAAGGAUGUCAAGCCCAGGUAAGGUUCUUCGCUUAUCAUCGAAUUAAAGAACAUCCUCCGCUACUUGUGCGGCUCCCCGUCAAUUCCUUUAUGUUUUAAUCUUGCGAUCGUACUCCACAGGCGGGAUGCUUAACGCGUUAGCUUCGCUACUGAAGGGGUCGAUACCUCCAACAGCUAGCAUCCAUCGUUUACAGCGUGGACUAC
rnacentral:misc_RNA from 1 species